CGUACACUCCUGCGGGAGGCAGCAGUGGGGAAUAUUGCACAAUGGGCGCAAGCCUGAUGCAGCCAUGCCGCGUGUAUGAAGAAGGCCUUCGGGUUGUAAAGUACUUUCAGCGGGGAGGAAGGCGAUAAGGUUAAUAACCUUGUCGACUGACGUUACCCGCAGAAGAAGCACCGGCUAACUCCGUGCCAGCAGCCGCGGUAAUACGGAGGGUGCAAGCGUUAAUCGGAAUUACUGGGCGUAAAGCGCACGCAGGCGGUCUGUCAAGUCGGAUGUGAAAUCCCCGGGCUCAACCUGGGAACUGCAUUCGAAACUGGCAGGCUAGAGUCUUGUAGAGGGGGGUAGAAUUCCAGGUGUAGCGGUGAAAUGCGUAGAGAUCUGGAGGAAUACCGGUGGCGAAGGCGGCCCCCUGGACAAAGACUGACGCUCAGGUGCGAAAGCGUGGGGAGCAAACAGGAUUAGAUACCCCAGUAGUCCCAUG
rnacentral:rRNA from 1 species